rnacentral:rRNA from 1 species
GAUGAACGCUGGCGGCGUGCCUAAUACAUGCAAGUCGAACGAACCUUCUAUAUCAUUGCGUCUCUGAACUUAUCGAUAAAGGGUUGAGUGGCAAAUGGGUGAGCAACAUGUGGGCAACUUGUAACAAAGAGGGGGAUAACACUUGGAAACAUGAUCUAAUACAGCAUAACCUUAGUUAUUGCAUGGUAAUUAUGUAAAAGGUGGCUAAUGUACCGACUUCGGAUGGGCCCGCGGUGAAUUUGAUAGUUUGUAAGGUAAACGCUUACCAAGGAAACGAUGCGUAGCCGAAAUAAGAGGGUGUUCCGCCCCAGUGGAACUGAGACACGGUCCCAACUCCUACGGGAGGCAGGCGGAGGGAAUCUUGCCCAAUGGGGCAAAACCUUGAUGAGGAACGCCGCGUUAGGGAAAAAGGGUUUCGGAUAUUAAAACCCUGUUAUUAGGGAAGAAAAAUUGUGUAAGUAACUAUUCACGUUUUGACGGUAACUAAGCCGAAAACCACGGCUAACUUCGUG